UCUUGCCUGUUCCUCGUUCCUCAUGUUCAAAAGGUCUUACUUCGAUCUUUUUAAUAACUGUUUGUUCUUCUUUCGUGUUCUCUGGUCCUGUGGUUAUUGUUUACGAUUUCUGAAGCGUCCAUUUCAUUGUUCUAAUGUUAUCUUCGAUUUUCAUCAUCGUUGUUUGCGGUUCCUUCUCCGUGGCAUAUCGCAAUUGAAUGAUACAUGACACAAGCCGCCUUACCUUCUCUCGUCAUCCUAACUUAGCACGGUGUAAGAACAAAUGGGAGGCGCCUAGUCAGCAGCUGGCAACUACGUACUUACAAGGUAUUAACUGCUUCUACAAUAUGGUGUACACAUUGUACUUUUCGUCUCCGUUCGGGUGCUUCGUCCUGUGUAUUCAGCAGUACUUGGUAAGGCUUGUUGCCAAAUGAUGCAUGUUACAACCGCAUGGAAAGUAGUCGACAGAACGUGAAGAAUAGUCCAUGAAGAAAAACAGUGAUGCAGUUUGAAUCCUCAUGCACCUAGCCUUCAUUUCUACAUCCUGCUGCA
rnacentral:sRNA from 1 species